AUGACGAGCCAUCGCCGCCUCCGCUCGACGGCGAGGCCGCCGCUGGAGGACGAGGACCUGCUCUCCGAGGUCCUCCUCCGCCUCCCGUCGCAGCCGUCCUCCCUCCCGCGCGCCUCCCUCGUGUGCAAUCCCUGGCGCAGCCUCGUCGCAGAUCCGGGUUUCCUCCGCCGCUUCCGCCUCCACCACCGCCGCAACGCUCCUCUUCUCGGUUUCUUCGAUAUUAGUUACGCUGAGGGAAGUUUUCACGACAUCUACUUCGUACCCACCAUGGAUCGCCCCAAUCGUCUGCCGGAUGGCCCGGAGGGCCGCUUCUACUUGCCGGCCGCCAACCGAGAAGAAGGCUACCGCGAGCUUCUUGGAUGCCGCGAUGGUCUCGUCCUCAUUCUCCACUUACCAUGGAGGUGCCCCCGGAGAACACCACCGGCAUCGUGGCGCCCGAUCCUGGUGUGGGAUCCUGUCAGCGGCGACAAGCACCGCAUUGCCUUCCCCUGGGGGUUCGAUGAUUAUAAGCUCUUGCAGUGGUGGAUCAAUGGGGCGGUGCUUCGCCACGCCGGAUUAGACCACUUUCAUGUAAUCUUGCUAGUGACAGAGGAGGGAAAAGAAAAUAGGCGAUUGCUUGCAUGGGUUUACUCGUCGGAGACCAGCGAAUGGGGUGAUCCCAUAUCGACGCUGCUUCCAUCCUGGGACUUCUUAAGCAAUCCGGACAAGCCCGCUGUGCUUGCUGAGAAUUCUCUUUACUGGAUCCUUGUUGAAGACGGUGGGCUUGGUUUCCUCUUUCUGUUAAAGUGGGACUACAGGGCUGUGUUUUAUGACUGGAAGACAGAUCGUGAUGGUGUUAGUUCAUGGGUGAACUCAAAAGUCAUUGAGAUAGACAAGCUACUUUCUCUGAAUGCAGAGAAGAAGUACGAGCUACUUUGCAAGAAUCUAAAUAAGGAGUGCACAAGGAUGCUAGGGUUUGCGGAGAACAGUAAUGUGAUAUUCCUGGAGACGUUUAUCGGCCUGUUUAUGAUUGAACUCAGCACAUUGCAAUUGAAGGAACUUCCCCGAACCAACGGGCACAGAUUCAACGUCCAUGCAUUCGAAAGUGUCUAUACUGCAGGUACUGGCAUUGGUGGUGGACAUGGUGGAGCUGAAGUUUUGCGCAAUGCCUAA
rnacentral:rRNA from 1 species